GCCUGUUUAACUCAAUCGGUAGAGUAUUGGUUUUGUAAACCAAAGGUUGCGGGUUCGAUUCCUGUAGCAGGCU
rnacentral:tRNA from 1 species